UAGGGAAUAUUGGACAAUGGGCGCAAGCCUGAUCCAGCCAUGCCGCGUGAGUGAAGAAGGCCCUCGGGUUGUAAAGCUCUUUUGUCCGGAAAGAAAAGCAUCGGGUUAAUACCCCGGUGUUCUGACGGUACCGGAAGAAUAAGCACCGGCUAACUUCGUGCCAGCAGCCGCGGUAAUACGAAGGGUGCAAGCGUUACUCGGAAUUACUGGGCGGAAAGCGUGCGUAGGUGGUUCGUUAAGUCUGAUGUGAAAGCCCUGGGCUCAACCUGGGAAUGGCAUUGGAAACUGGCGGACUGGAGUGCGGUAGAGGGUAGCGGAAUUCCCGGUGUAGCAGUGAAAUGCGUAGAGAUCGGGAGGAACAUCCGUGGCGAAGGCGGCUACCUGGACCAGCACUGACACUGAGGCACGAAAGCGUGGGGAGCAAACA
rnacentral:rRNA from 1 species